rnacentral:rRNA from 1 species
CGGCGAGUGGCGGACGGGUGAGUAAUGCCUGGGGAGCUGCCCAAUCGAGGGGGACUCCCGUUGGAAACGACUGCUAAUACCGCAUAAGCCCUGAGGGGGAAAGGUGGGGAUUUUUGGACCUACCGCGAUUGGAUGCACCCAGGUGGGAUUAGCUAGUUGGUGAGGUAACGGCUCACCAAGGCGACGAUCUCUAGCUGGUUUGAGAGGAUGACCCGCCCCCCUGGAAAUGAGACACGGUCCCGACUCCUUCGGGAGGCAGCCGUGGGGAAUAUUGCCCAAUGGGGGAAACCCUGAUGCAGCCCUGCCGCGUGUGUGAAGAAGGCCUUCGGGUUGUAAAGCACUUUCAGCGAGGAGGAAAGGUUGGCAGCUAAUACCUGUCAGCUGUGACGUUACUAGGGGAAGAAGCCCCGGCUAACUCCGUG